rnacentral:snRNA from 1 species
AGCUUUGCGCAGUGGCAAUAUCACAGCCAAUGAGAUUUAUCUGAGGCGCGAUUAUUGCUAAUUGAAAAUUGAG